rnacentral:rRNA from 1 species
CCUACGGGGGGCAGCAGUGAGGAAUAUUGGUCAAUGGACGAGAGUCUGAACCAGCCAAGUAGCGUGAAGGAUGACUGCCCUAUGGGUUGUAAACUCCUUUUAUAUGGGAAUAAAAUGUUCCACGUGUGGGAUUUUGUAUGUACCAUAUGAAUAAGGAUCGGCUAACUCCGUGCCAGCAGCCGCGGUAAUACGGAGGAUCCGAGCGUUAUCCGGAUUUAUUGGGUUUAAAGGGAGCGUAGGUGGAUUGUUAAGUCAGUUGUGAAAGUUUGCGGCUCAACCGUAAAAUUGCAGUUGAAACUGGCAGUCUUGAGUACAGUAGAGGUGGGCGGAAUUCGUGGUGUAGCGGUGAAAUGCUUAGAUAUCACGAAGAACUCCGAUUGCGAAGGCAGUUCACUGGACUGCAACUGACACUGAGGCUCGAAAGUGUGGGUAUCAAACAGGAUUAGAUACCCCAGUAGUC